AACGAACGCUGGCGGCAGGCCUCAAACAUGCAAGUCUAGGGGGUGUAGCAAUACAUCACCGGCGGACGGGUGCGUAACGCGUGGGAAUAUACCUAUCGAUUCGGAACAACUGAGGGAAACUUCAGCUAAUACCGAAUACGUCCUAACGGAGAAAGAUUUAUCGUCGAUAGAUUAGCCCGCGUUCGAUUAGCUAGUUGGUGGGGUAACGGCCCACCAAGGCGACGAUCGAUAGCUGUUCUGAGAGGAAGAUCAGCCACACUGGGACUGAGACACGGCCCAGACUCCUACGGGAGGCAGCAGUUGGGAAUCUUGGACAAUGGGGGAAACCCUGAUCCAGCCAUGCCGCGUGAGUGAUGAAGGCCUUCGGUUGUAAACGUCUUUCGCGCACGACGAUAAUGACGGUAGUGCGAGAAGAAGCUCCGGCUAACUUCGUGCCAGCAGCCGCGGUAAU
rnacentral:rRNA from 1 species